UGGCUGCGAAAAGAAUUUUAAUUUUAGUAAGAGACCGGCGAGAAUUAACGGUUUCGGGCGACAGGCACAAAACGGAGAGAAACUAUGUUUGAA
rnacentral:ncRNA from 1 species